rnacentral:rRNA from 1 species
UACGUAGGGUCCGAGCGUUGUCCGGAUUUAUUGGGCGUAAAGCGCUCGCAGGUGGUUCAUUGCGUCGUGCGUGAAAGACCCCGGCUCAACUGGGGAGGGUCGUGCGAAACGGGUGAACUAGAGGCCAGUAGGGGGAUGUGGAAUUCCGGGUGUAGUGGUGGAAUGCGUAGAGAUCCGGAGGAACACCAGCGGCGAAGGCGGCAUCCUGGACUGGUCCUGACACUCAGGAGCGAAAGCGUGGGGAGCGAUCCGG